rnacentral:rRNA from 1 species
UACGAAGGGGGCUAGCGUUGCUCGGAAUCACUGGGCGUAAAGCGCACGUAGGCGGCCUCUUAAGUCGGUGGUGAAAUCCUGGAGCUCAACUCCAGAACUGCCUUUGAUACUGAGGAUCUUGAGUUCGGGAGAGGUGAGUGGAACUGCGAGUGUAGAGGUGAAAUUCGUAGAUAUUCGCAAGAACACCAGUGGCGAAGGCGGCUCACUGGCCCGAUACUGACGCUGAGGCACGAAAGCGUGGGGAGCAAACAGG